rnacentral:rRNA from 1 species
UACGUAGGAUGCAAGCGUUGUCCGGAUUUACUGGGCGUAAAGCGCGCGCAGGCGGCAAGGUAAGUAAGGUGUGAAAUCUGUCGGCUCAACCGGGAGGGUGCACUUUAGACUGCUUUGCUUGAGGUCGGUAGAGGGGGGGUGGAAUUGCUGGUGUACGGUGAAAUGCGUAGAGAUCAGCAGGAACACCCGUGGCGAAGGCGGCCCCCUGGGCCGUACCUGACGCUGAGGCGCGAAGGCUAGGGGGAGCGAACGGG